CAUAUUUUUAGGACUAAUACUACAUGUACUCUCACUUUUUAUUCCAUUUUUAUAAUUCCCUGUUGAGGUGUCAUUUUUUGAUUGAUUUAAA